GACGAACGCUGGCGGCGUGGAUAAGACAUGCAAGUCGAACGGGAUAACGGAUGUAGCAAUACAAACGUUGUUCAGUGGCGCAAGGGUGAGUAACACGUGGGCAACCUGCCCGAAAGAACGGGAUAGCCCGCCGAAAGGCGGAUUAAUACCGUAUGUGACGAAGAGGGGAAACUCUCUGAUGUUAAAGUCGGAGCAAUCUGACGCUUUUGGAUGGGCCCGCGGCCUAUCAGCUAGUUGGUGAGGUAACGGC
rnacentral:rRNA from 1 species